rnacentral:rRNA from 1 species
UAAUACGUAGGUCCCGAGCGUUGUCCGGAUUUAUUGGGCGUAAAGCGAGCGCAGGUGGUUUAAUAAGUCUGAUGUAAAAGGCAGUGGCUCAACCAUUGUGUGCAUUGGAAACUGUUAGACUUGAGUGCAGUAGAGGAGAGUGGAAUUCCAUGUGUAGCGGUGAAAUGCGUAGAUAUAUGGAGGAACACCGGUGGCGAAAGCGGCUCUCUGGACUGUAACUGACACUGAGGCUCGAAAGCGUGGGUAGCAAACAGGAUUAGAUACCCUGGUAGUCCACGCCGUAAACGAUGAGUGCUAGUUGUUUGGGGCUAUCCAGCCCUAAGUGACGCAGCAAACGCAUUAAGCACUCCGCCUGGGGAGUACGACCGCAAGGUUG